rnacentral:rRNA from 1 species
GACGGGGCCGCACAAGCGGUGGAGCAUGUGGUUAAUUCGAAGCAACGCGAAGAACCUUACCAGGUCUUGACAUCCCGAUGCUAUUCUAGAGAUAGAAAGUUACUUCGGUACAUCGGUGACAGGUGGUGCAUGGUUGUCGUCAGCUCGUGUCGUGAGAUGUUGGGUUAAGUCCCGCAACGAGCGCAACCCCUAUUGUUAGUUGCCAUCAUUCAGUUGGGCACUCUAGCGAGACUGCCGGUAAUAAACCGGAGGAAGUGGGGAUGACGUCAAAUCAUCAUGCCCCUUAUGACCUGGGCUACACACGUGCUACAAUGGUUGGUACAACGAGUUGCGAGUCGGUGACGGCGAGCUAAUCUCUUAAAGCCAAUCUCGGUUCGGAUUGUAGGCUGCAACUCGCCUACAUGAAGUCGGAAUCGCUAGUAAUCGCGGAUCAGCACGCCCGCGGUCGAAUACGUUCCCGGGCCUU